AAAAGACUUAGUCCUAACCUUACAGUUAGUUUUUGCUAAACAUAUACAUGCAAGUGUCCGCGCCCCAGUGUAAAUGCCCUCAGCCCUUUGCCUUAAGGAAAGAGGAGCGGGUAUCAGGCACACUCAGUUUCGUAGCCCAAGACGCCUUGCUCAGCCACACCCCCACGGGUACUCAGCAGUAAUUGACAUUAAGCAAUGAGUGUAAGCUUGACUUAGUUAUAGCAAUUCUAGGGUUGGUAAAUCUUGUGCCAGCCACCGCGGUCACACAAGAAACCCAAAUUAACCGUAUAGCGGCGUAAAGAGUGGUACUACGAUAUCAUAAUAACUAGGAUUGAAAUGCGGCUAGGCUGUCAUAAGCUCAAGAUGCACUUAAAGUCAUCUUUAAGAUGAUCCUAGCAUUUCUGAUCAAUUUAACCCCACGAAAGCUAGGGCACAAACUGGGAUUAGAUACCCCAUUAUGCCUAGCCCUAAAUCUUGAUGCUUGCCAUACCAAAGCAUCCGCCUGAGAACUACGAGCACAAACGCUUAAAACUCUAAGGACUUGGCGGUGCUCCAAACCCACCUAGAGGAGCCUGUUCUGUAAUCGAUAACCCACGAUUCACCCGACCAUCCCUUGCUAGAGCAGCCUACAUACCGCCGUCGCCAGCCCACCUCCCCUGAGAGUUCCACAGUGAGCACAAUAGCCUAAACUCGCUAAUAAGACAGGUCAAGGUAUAGCCUAUGGGGUGGAAGAAAUGGGCUACAUUUUCUACGAUAGGAAACCCACGAAAGAGGANAUGAAACAGUCCCCGGAAGGUGGAUUNNNNNGNNNNNNNNGACAANNNNNNCCUCUUUAAGUCGGCCCUGGAGCACGUACAUACCGCCCGUCACCCUCCUCACAAGCCACCAACUCUCUAAUAAUUAAUAAGCCUCCUGGCUAAAGAUGAGGUAAGUCGUAACAAGGUAAGUGUACCGGAAGGUGCACUUAGUAUAUC
rnacentral:ncRNA from 1 species